ACUCGACGAGUAUAGACACCCUGACACCACUCGCCGAGUCUGAAGAACGACUCGACGAGUUCCAGUAGAUCUUCAAGCUACUCGCCGAGUCUGAAGAACAACUCGGCGAGUCCUAGUGAACCUUCAAGCUACUCGCCGAGUCUGAAGAACGACUCGACGAGUUCUAGUGAAUCUUCAAGCUACUCGCCGAGUCUGAUCAUUGGACUCGGCGAGUCCUCGCCAUGCAGUCAAUCCGCUGCCUCCUGUAUUUCGCAUGAUUUCGAAAUAUAUAGAUAUGGGN
rnacentral:lncRNA from 1 species